rnacentral:rRNA from 1 species
AUUGAACGCUGGCGGCAUGCCUAACACAUGCAAGUCGAGCGGAGCGUCGGACGAGUGAUGAAUGCCUAGUAAUUUGCCUGGUAGCCUGGGAUAACUUCCGGAAGCGGGCGCUAAUACCGCAUACUAUCAGACGAGUUUUGGUCUGAUUAGCUAGUUGGUCGGGUAAAGGCUCACCAGGGCGACGAUCCGUAACUGGUCUGAGAGGAGGAUCAGUCACACUGGGACUGAGACACGGUCCAGACUCCUACGGGAGGAAGCAGUGGGGAAUAUUGGGCAAUGGGCGAAAGCCUGAUCCAGCCAUGCCGCGUGUGUGAAGAAGGUCUUCGGAUUGUAAAGCUCUUUAAGUUGGGAGGCGGUACCAACAGAAUAAGCAACGGCUAACUUCGUGCCAGCAGCCGCGGUAAUUC